rnacentral:rRNA from 1 species
GCGACCCCAGGUCAGGCGGGC